rnacentral:rRNA from 1 species
GACGAACGCUGGCGGCGUGCUUAACACAUGCAAGUCGAACGGAAAGGCCCUGCUUUUGUGGGGUGCUCGAGUGGCGAACGGGUGAGUAACACGUGAGUAACCUGCCCUUGACUUUGGGAUAACUUCAGGAAACUGGGGCUAAUACCGGAUAGGAGCUCCUGCGGCAUGGUGGGGGGUGGAAAGUUUCGGCGGUUGGGGAUGGACUCGCGGCUUAUCAGCUUGUUGGUGGGGUAGUGGCUUACCAAGGCUUUGACGGGUAGCCGGCCUGAGAGGGUGACCGGCCACAUUGGGACUGAGAUACGGCCCAGACUCCUACGGGAGGCAGCAGUGGGGAAUAUUGCACAAUGGGCGGAAGCCUGAUGCAGCAACGCCGCGUGCGGGAUGACGGCCUUCGGGUUGUAAACCGCUUUCGCCUGUGACGAAGCGUGAGUGACGGUAAUGGGUAAAGAAGCACCGGCUAACUACGUG